GCCCAGGUGGCGGAAUGGUAUACGCGCUAGCUUGAGGUGCUAGUUCUCGCAAGGGAUUGGAAGUUCGAGUCUUCUCCUGGGCACAA
rnacentral:tRNA from 7 species